GAGUUUGAUUAUGGCUCAGGAUGAACGCUGGCGGCGUGCCUAACACAUGCAAGUCGAACGAAGCAUAUAGAAGGAAGUUUUCGGAUGGAAUUUUAUAUGACUUAGUGGCGGACGGGUGAGUAACGCGUGGAUAAUCUGCCUUACACAGCGGGAUAACAAGUGGAAACAGUUGCUAAUACCGCAUAAGCACACAGUAUCGCAUGAUACAGGGUGAAAAGAUUUAUCGGUGUAAGAUGAGUCCGCGUCCCAUUAGCUAGUUGGUGAGGUAAAAGCUUACCAAGGCGACGAUGGGUAGCCGGCCUGAGAGGGUGAACGGCCACAUUGGGACUGAGACACGGCCCAGACUCCUACGGGAGGCAGCAGUGGGGGAUAUUGCACAAUGGGCGAAAGCCUGAUGCAGCGACGCCGCGUGAAGGAUGAAGUAUUUCGGUAUGUAAACUUCUAUCAGCAGGGAAGAAAAU
rnacentral:rRNA from 1 species